rnacentral:RNase_P_RNA from 1 species
GAGAGCAAACCGCCGAUGGCCCACGCACGUGGGAUCAGGUAAGGGUGAAAGGGUGCGGUAAGAGCGCACCGCGCGGCUGGUAACAGUCCGUGGCACGGUAAACUCCACCCGGAGCAAGGCCAAAUAGGGGUUCAUAAGGUACGGCCCGUACUGAACCCGGGUAGGCUGCUUGAGCCAGUGAGCGAUUGCUGGCCUAGAUGAAUGACUGUCCACGACAGAACCCGGCUUAUCGGUCAGUUUCACCU